UGGGUAGAAUCCCAAAAAAAAUAUCGGGCAAGCAAUUCGAACUUAAAAAAAAUAUCGUGCAAGACUAAACGGACGAAAAAAAAUAUCGAGCAAGACUUUCGAGUGGUAAUCCUUAUUUGCCAUUCGGUGCAUUUCCGCGUGUAGCCCAGGGCCGUAUGUAGCAACCGGGGUGCUGCAGGGUCCAGGAAAUGGCAUUUCAGAGACUCUAAAUUUAAAAAUUUCCUCGGGCCUUCGGCCCUCGCUUCCAGCCCCCCAAUCAUAAAGAGCUUCCUACGACCCUGUAGCCUAAAUAAUGGGAGAACCAGUAUAAUUCCAAAAAUGGUUGUUCUUCAUUUCUUUAUUUUCUUCAUCUCCGACUCCUAUGAUGAACGUGUACGUAAAAAAACUAGGAAAACUACGAUUAAAUCACGUGCACGGCCGUAGAAACCAAAAUAGGUGAAAUUUUUAUGGGACACGAUCAAAGGCGAGGAUAUAAGAGCGAGAGAUUGAAAUUGAGUAGGAAUAGCGUGCAGGGGUAUGCCUUUCGAUCUAACAGUUUUCUUCAGCCUGCAGGGUUUUUUAAGAG